AACGAACGCUGGCGGCAUGCCUAACACAUGCAAGUCGAACGCCGUAGCAAUACGGAGUGGCAGACGGGUGAGUAACACGUGGGAACGUACCCUUCGGGUUCGGGAUAACUCAGGGAAACUUGAGCUAAUACCGGAUACGUCCGAGAGGAGAAAGAUUUAUCGCCGAGGGAUCGGCCCGCGUCUGAUUAGCUUGUUGGUGAGGUAACGGCUCACCAAGGCGACGAUCAGUAGCUGGCUGAGAGGAUGAUCAGCCACAUUGGGACUGAGACACGGCCCAAACUCCUACGGGAGGCAGCAGUGGGGAAUAUUGGACAAUGGGCGCAAGCCUGAUCCAGCAAUGCCGCGUGAGUGAGGAAGGCC
rnacentral:rRNA from 1 species